GUAUUGAUUGCGGGUUAGCGCAUAAAUGAGGUCAUUCUACACUUUUUAAAAGGGGUGUUUGUGUGAAAACGCGAGCCUCCUCCGAGAUGAUCCCAAAGGGUGCCCACGCGGUGGUGCACAGGGUGAGAUGGAUUGUUUGAGAGCGCUCGGGCGUGCACGACAAAAAAGUCAGCGACAGCCCUUGCACCUCAGUUUUACGAUAAUGAUCCUUCCGCAGGUUCACCUACGGAAA
rnacentral:misc_RNA from 1 species